rnacentral:rRNA from 1 species
GACGAACGCUGGCGGCGUGCUUAACACAUGCAAGUCGAGCGGAAAGGCCCUUCGGGGUCCUCGAGCGGCGAACGGGUGAGUAACACGUGAGUAACCUGCCCCAGACUUUGGGAUAACCCUCGGAAACGGGGGCUAAUACCGGAUACGACACAGCUUCGCAUGGGGUCUGUGUGGAAAGUUUUUCGGUUUGGGAUGGGCUCGCGGCCUAUCAGCUUGUUGGUGGGGUGAUGGCCUACCAAGGCGACGACGGGUAGCCGGCCUGAGAGGGCGACCGGCCACACUGGAACUGAGACACGGCCCAGACUCCUACGGGAGGCAGCAGUGGGGAAUAUUGCACAAUGGGCGGAAGCCUGAUGCAGCGACGCCGCGUGAGGGAUGACGGCCUUCGGGUUGUAAACCUCUUUCAGCAGGGACGAAGCGUAAGUGACGGUACCUGCAGAAGAAGCGCCGGCCAACUACGUG